AACGAACGCUGGCGGCGCGCCUAACACAUGCAAGUCGAACGCGAAAGUGUAGCAAUACAUGAGUAAAGUGGCGCACGGGUGAGUAACGCGUAGGUGAUCUACCUUUGUGACCGGGAUAACCAGCCGAAAGGUUGGCUAAUACUGGAUAGAGCGAUUUGGUCGUAGAGAUUGAAUCGGGAAAGGGAGGCGUAGCAAUACGCUUUUGCACUGAGAUGAGCCUGCGUCUCAUUAGCUAGUUGGUAGGGUAAUGGCCUACCAAGGCAUUGAUGGGUAGCUGGUCUGAGAGGACGAUCAGCCACACUGGAACUGAAACACGGUCCAGACUCCUACGGGAGGCUG
rnacentral:rRNA from 1 species